UCAAACGACCUAUCCUCCAAGUACUUCUUGUUCAUCUCGUUUGGAUAGGAUCGGAAAGUUCUGAAGCAAAAAGGAGAAUCUGAAGAUGGCCACAGAGACACUUUCAAGUGACAGAUCGAGCCUGGCCGAUGAAACACUAUCAUGCAAAAGCGCCAACAUUCCCCAUGCGUUUGAUGCCCCUUCUAUCUUGUCAAAGCCAAAAGAGAUCUCGGACUUUCCGUGCACUUCUUCUCUGGACCUUGCAAAGUGCACGUCAGUGCCAUUUUACCCACCCGCUGCACACCAGACGUCACCUAGAUCUGCCAUCGAGCCGGAUCAAGCCGACGAAGGAGGGAUAGGUAAUAGACAGGCUCUCGCCAGAUGGCACCAUGACCCCCAACCUCGGACAGGGAUUGCUUUCCCUGUCUCCGCUCCACCGCCGAGACAGACGGCCACGGGGAUGCCUGGUUUAUCUCACACGGACGCUAAAUGAAUUACCAGCCAGUCCAAAGGAGCUCAUCAAAGCAGAGAUGAGGAAUCCUGAGUCUUCACCCGGACUAUAAACCAAUUACCAGCUACCCCAGAAACCUGGAAUCCCAGGUAUCAGAAGACCCCCUGUGUGCAGGGCUCAAGAUACUGACCCAAAAAGCUUGAAAAUCUGCUGGUCCCGCAUGCCAAGAUAAAAGUUUAAUGCAACUCGUUAAGACAUCGGGGAUAAUGGAUUGGACACGAGCGGAUGUUCCGCCUACACACAUGCUCAUUUGCCCCGCUCCCAGCCCCCAACUUGCUCACUCAAUCACAAAUCUAACUGCAGCCCUGUUAGAUUUGUGAUUAACAGUCAGUGGAAGGCGAUCAAACAUAGGUACCCAUAUUUGUUGUAGCUACUUUGAUUCAUAAUAGUUUUGCCAAACUAAGACAUUGUAUCAAACCCAGUGAAAUUUGUAACAACAGCUCAGCAGAAUAUCGCUAAACCUACCUACAACCGCCAAUUUGUGUUGUCACUGUAAGUAAACGCCGAAGCUCUGACCAUGCUAGCACUAACUGCUAUGUCAGACCCAGCGGCCUACGAAACUGUCUAGUUUCCCACCAGCACAGGUUGCCCCAAGAACAUCAGCACCAUCAAUGUAACCCUGGUGUUUGCGGUGCAGUCAAAAUUGUCAUUGUUUUACAUGGGACCUCAUCGCUACAGUAAUUACUCAUCAUUGUCAUGAUCAUCAGCAGCAUAAGAAUUGUUGACAUGUACGUACAGGAUGGCGGACAACUGGCUAGCACAUCUGCCUCACAGUUUUGAGGACCGGGGUUCAAAUCCCGGCUCCGCCUGUGUGGAGUUUGCAUGUUCUUUCCGUGCCUGCGUGGGUUUUCUCCGGGUGCUCCAGUUUCCUCCCACAUCCCCAAAACAUGCGUGGUUGAUUGAUUUUAAGACUCAAAAUUGCCUGUAGGUGUGAAUGUGAGUGCAAAUGGUUGUUUGUAUCUAUGUGCCCUGCAAUUGGCUGUCGACCACUUCAGGGUGUAUCCCGCCUCUCGCUCGAAGAUAGCUGGGAUAGGCUCCAGCACGCCCACAACCCACGUCAGGAAUAAGUGGUACAGAAAAUGGAUGGAUGGAUGUACGUACAGGUACUGUACAAUGUCUAUCUGCAUCCUUAGCUGUAAGCUAUUUACUCUAGGCCUACCGUAUUUUUACACCUAUGUGUGAAGAUGCUUGUAACGGUUUUAUUAAAGUGUUUUGGGGUCAUAGUUUGUGCAAAGUUUAUGGUUUAAACUAUUGAUGUAGGCAAUUAUAAUCUCUUAGGUGAGCAUCAAUUAUUCACGAUAAUUUGCUAUUUGCGGUUGGGCUUGUUGCCUAUCCCCACUGUAGCCAAAGCUUUCUUUGCACAACAGAAAUCCACGCUGUCGCAGAGGAAAAUGCAAAGAAUGAAUGUAAAUGUUGAUUCAUUCAUUAAUACUGCAUUUUCCUGCUAGAAACGAAAUCCCCCUAUUGCUUCAAUUUUGCAAACUGACAGUAAAUUACCAAAUCCAUUAAGGACACUCACAUCAUAGCUGAAUAACGUGUCUUUCAAUAAAGUAUUUGUGCCACAGGCAAAAAUGCAGAAGCCAGCAAGGACAUCUUCCUCUGUUUCCCUGUCAUAUUAAUGUGAGCGUGGGAGUGUGAAGCACCCCUCCAUCAUUGUCACCUUCCCUUCGGUUUCUUUCUCAAAGAAAAACUUGAACGUUAAAUAAGCUUGGAGGAAAACUUCAUGUCCACGCAAUUUACUCCUGAGCUUUAAGGAAAAAUGUUGAGCAAGGGAUAGGAGACGCAUCUACCCAGGCAUUAAUAUGGUUGUAAUAGUUGUGUAGCCUACAAGUCAUCAAUUUGUUGUUCAUCAUGACAUUGAGGAUUGGAGUAUAACUUCCUACUGAGU